UACGUAGGGUGCGAGCGUUGUCCGGAAUUAUUGGGCGUAAAGAGCUCGUAGGCGGUCUGUCGCGUCGGUCGUGAAAACUUGGGGCUUAACCCUGAGCUUGCGGUCGAUACGGGCAUGACUGGAGUUCGGCAGGGGAGACUGGAAUUCCUGGUGUAGCGGUGAAAUGCGUAGAGAUGCGGAGGAACACCGAUGGCGAAGGCAGCCCCCUGGGCUAACACUGACGCUCAGGCACGAAAGCGUGGGGAGCAAACAGG
rnacentral:rRNA from 1 species